rnacentral:snRNA from 1 species
AUACCUUUCUCGGCCUUUUGGCUAAGAUCAAGUGUAGUAUCUAUUCUUAUCAGUUUAAUAUCUGAUAUGUGAGUCAUCGGCUCACACGAUAUUAACUCAAUUUUUUAAGGGGAAAGUUCAAUACGGUAGCUUGCUAUCCGAGCUUUCAAGUGUCGCCUUGGUGUUGCACUAUAGCCUUGGCCUGGCAUACCCCUC